AGAGUUUGAUUAUGGCUCAGGAUGAACGCUAGCACAGGCUUAACACAUGCAAGCGAGGGGUAGCAGGGUAGCAAUACCGCUGACGACCGGCGCACGGGUGAGUAACACGUAUCCAACCUUCCCAUAACUCAGGGAUAGCCUUUCGAAAGAAAGAUUAAUACCUGAUAGUACUUUUUCAAGGCAUCUUGAGAAAGUUAAAGAUUUAUUGGUUAUGGAUGGGGAUGCGUUCCAUUAGAUAGUUGGUGAGGUAACGGCUCACCAAGUCUUCGAUGGAUAGGGGUUCUGAGAGGAAGGUCCCCCACAUUGGUACUGAGACACGGACCAAACUCCUACGGGAGGCAGCAGUGAGGAAUAUUGGUCAAUGGGCGAGAGCCUGAACCAGCCAAGUAGCGUGAAGGAAUGAAGGUCCUAUGGAUUGUAAACUUCUUUUAUAGUAGAAUAAAGUGAUCCACGUGUGGAUUUUUGUAUGUAUACUAUGAAUAAGGAUCGGCUAACUCCGUGCCAGCCGCCGC
rnacentral:rRNA from 1 species